rnacentral:rRNA from 1 species
CAGGUCUUCGGAUGCUGACGAGUGGCGAACAGGUGAGUAAUACAUCGGAACGUGCCCGAUCGUGGGGGAUAACGCAGCGAAAGCUGUGCUAAUACCGCAUACGAUCUACGGAUGAAAGCGGGGGAUCGCAAGACCUCGCGCGGACGGAGCGGCCGAUGGCAGAUUAGGUAGUUGGUGGGAUAAAAGCUUACCAAGCCGACGAUCUGUAGCUGGUCUGAGAGGACGACCAGCCACACUGGGGCUGAGACACGGCCCAGACUCCUACGGGAGGCAGCAGUGGGGAAUUUUGGACAAUGGGCGCAAGCCUGAUCCAGCCAUGCCGCGUGCAGGAUGAAGGCCUUCGGGUUGUAAACUGCUUUUGUACGGAACGAAAAAGUUCUCUCUAAUACAGGGGGCGAAUGACGGUACCGUAAGAAUAAGCACCGGCUAACUACGUGCCAGCAGCCGCGGUAAUACGUAGGGUGCGAGCGUUAAUCGGAAUUACUGGGCGUAAAGCGUGCGCAGGCGGUUAUAUAAGACAGAUGUGAAAUCCCCGGGCUCAACCUGGGAACUGCAUUAGUGACUGUAUAGCUAGAGUGCGGCAGAGGGGGAUGGAAUUCCGCGUGUAGCAGUGAAAUGCGUAGAUAUGCGGAGGAACACCGAUGGCGAGGGCAAUCCCCUGGGCCUGCACUGACGCUCAUGCACGAAAGCGUGGGGAGCAAACAGGAUUAGAUACCCUGGUAGUCCACGCCCUAAACGAUGUCAACUGGUUGUUGGGUCUUCACUGACUCAGUAACGAAGCUAACGCGUGAAGUUGACCGCCUGGGGGAGUACGGCGCAAGGUUAAAACUCAAAGGAAUUGACGGGGACCCGCACAAGCGGUGGAUGAUGUGGUUUAAUUCGAUGCAACGCGAAAAACCUUACCCACCUUUGACAUGUA